CAGCCGUAAACUAUGCGCGUUAGGUGUACUGGUGACCACGAGUCACCGGGGUGCCGAAGGGAAACCGUGAAACGUGCCGCCUGGGAAGUACGGUCGCAAGGCUGAAACUUAAAGGAAUUGGCGGGGGAGCACCGCAACGGGAGGAGCGUGCGGUUUAAUUGGAUUCAACGCCGAAAAACUCACCAGCAGCGACUGUUACAUGAAAGUCAGGUUGAUGACCUUACUAGAUUUUCAGAGAGGUGGUGCAUGGCGUCAGUGACU
rnacentral:rRNA from 1 species